rnacentral:lncRNA from 1 species
AUGUGGGGAAUAAUAAAAGCUAAGGUAAUUAUUCUAGCAUCAUAGCCUCGUGUGUUUGUGUGUGAUUUCUGGGUGUCUACCUCUGGGGACCUGCAGAUUUCUGCUGAUCAGAACCUGAUAAGGUUUUUCACAGAACAUUUUUGGCGUCACGAACUGAGACUGACCAGAGGAUAUACUCAGAGAUCAUGUUUAAGUGGAGGAAAAAGGCAGCGGAGGAAUCCGUAGCCGAUGCAUUGAUUCCCGGAUGGGAAGAAAGCCCCUGGAAGGAGGUGGCUUUUUGUUUACGCCGUGGAGCGAGCUGCUCCGACGUGUGGCAAAGUGUGGUCGGUGAUGGAUCACCUGAGACAGUUUUACGGCUGCUCACGAAUGUUCCCGUUCAUCCCAAAACCCCGUUGGAGGGGGUUCAGAGGAGGAUGUGGCUCUGUGCUGCAGCUUGGAGAGUUAAAAGUGAACUGUUUGAAGUACAGCGUGAUGAAACUGUUAAGAUGAAACAACAGUUAAGUGAAAUUCAAAGUGAGAUUGCUCUGCAGACAGAGCAAAUGCGUUUGUUGCAAAGUAAACUGGAUCGCAUGACGCGGUUGGCUGAGCGCUCUGUGGCUCACGUGUCAAAAGUAAAUAGACAGCAGCGGCGGAUGAAGCCCCGCUGCCCUGAAGUUGCCUCCGUACGCUCCUUUGUAGCACGACCGGUGGAGGGAGCAGAUGAUUGGGAUCCCGAGACGGGGGAUGGAGACGUCUGGGAUGAUUCUGAUAAGACGGGAGGACAGUUAGAUGAAUGGUAUGGAGCGCACCCAGACCCUCCUCCAUACCCGCCGUAUACGGUACCCGAGGGUGUGGGAGUUGGUCUCCGAACGGACGCUCAGGGGACCUUCCAAGAGCCACUAUGGAAAACCACAUCAGCCGGUCCACUGGCAGUGUCGCUGUCCUGAGACCGAGGAUCAUCGACCUCUCCUUCUCAGUGGAGAGCAUUCCGGCCCUUCAGCUUCAAAGGGCCUCUAUCUGAAGUGAAGUGCCUAUCACGUCACAGGAGGGCGUGGUAUGAUCUGAUGGGCCUCUCCAACUCUUCCGAUGGAAAGGUAACAAGAAAUAUACUGUCGAACACAGGAAAAAGGAUCGCUCAUGGAUUACAACAAGUAGGUGUGUGGAUGCCGUCAGUAGCAGAAAGAGACUGCUGAUCUGCUCGUCCAUACGCUAUCAUGGCACAUGGAGAUGUGGAACCUCACCAGUGAGAUUUUGACGACUAUUACUGGUACCUUGAACUUGACAGUUUGUAACGUACGAUUGUUAGACAUGAAUCUACAACAAGAAUGAUUCGUUGGAGACAUGACAACCAACAACAGCGGCGACCAGCGGCGAAGACGGAAUAUUCCGAAUAGACUGUUACAAACCACACCUGCCAAGACUAAGUGUAGUGAAACUGUCUGUACUGGUUAUUGGGUGUUGUAUAAUGUUACUAAACCAACAACUGAGUGCAAGUCUUAUAUGUUGACUUAUGUAGAACAACCUAGAGAUUGUGUAGCCACUAUGCAUUACCAGCUUGGGACACCUUGCACUGGGUGCUUGACAGGUGUUCAUCUGGGGCACUGGAACAACCAGACCUAUUAUUUGACAAACUAUGGCAUUGGUCUCUCUGGGUUGGUUUAGAUGCGCACUGAACCGGUCCGCUGAGCUCAGAGCAAUGGUAGAGUCACAUAGGUCUAACGUUUCCAGACUACUGGUGUCCACCGUCCUGGCCCAGGGUGGGGUGUUACAUGAUUAACCGCUUGCAGUGUAUUCGCUUUUGGAAAGGUAACAAGACAAUUGCGGACGAUUGAUCAGGACAUGAGAAGAUGAGUUGAUGCUCAGAUCAGACCACAGGGUGGAAUGUAAAGAAAAUAUAUUUUGUGUGUGUGUUCUGAUCUGACCAUUCUGGAGCCGAGUCCCACCACCUGCAUUGAGCUGCUGAAGGAGAAGCCUCUGGAAUGUAAACAUGUUAUUCUGCUCUGCUUAGCCGCUUCACAUAGAAAACACUUGUGCGAAUGUAGAUGUUUUCUAUUCCUCUGGAAAACACCUCUUGGCUCCCAGGGAAGACUUUUUUCUCCCACAGGGUGACGUUUUCUAUUUCCUCUGGGAAACACCUCUCGAUUCCCAGGGGAGGACUUUUUUAUUUCAAUGUAUAAAAGACGGGACGUUGCUAGAAUCGUUGAAGUCAGCUGGAUGGUUAUGUACGACACCAGCCAAGUCGAAGCUGUCCUUACCGGGGUUAUGUUGACUUCCCAUCUCCCAUUUCAGCGGUAAGAGUGAUUUGAAUGCUUCACCUAUGUAGUUGAUUGUUUUGACUUGCUAUGCUCUGUGGGGAAUAAUAAAAGCUAAGGUAAUUAUUCUAGCAUCAUAGCCUCGUGUGUUUGUGUGUGAUUUCUGGGUGUCUACCUCUGGGGACCUGCAGAUUUCUGCUGAUCAGAACCUGAUAAGGUUUUUCACAGAAC